rnacentral:rRNA from 1 species
GAUGAACGCUGACAGCAUGCUUAACACAUGCAAGUCGACCGCGGCGGACGGGUGAGGAACGCGUGAAGAACUUGCCUCACGGUUUGGGACAACGUUGGGAAACGCAUGCUAAAACCGGAUACUGUGCGAGCGCUCUGCGUCCCAUACGUUCGGUGGAGAGGUAACGGCUCACGAAGGCGAUGAUGGGUAGCCGGCCUGCGAGGGUGAUCGGCCACAAGGGGACUGAGACACGGCCCUUAGUGCAACGGUAGGCAUCAGUGGGGGACAUUGGCAGAUGUACCAAAGUAUGAUGCAGCAAUUCUGUGUGCACGAUGAUGUUUUCGGAAUGUAAAGUUCUUUCAUUUUGGCAGCGGUACCAGCAGAAGAAGUGCCGGCUAAAUACGUGCCAGCAGCCGCGGUAAUAC